rnacentral:rRNA from 1 species
GAUGGACCCGCGGUGCAUUAGCUAGUUGGUGAGGUAACGGCUCACCAAGGCAACGAUGCAUAGCCGACCUGAGAGGGUGAUCGGCCACACUGGGACUGAGACACGGCCCAGACUCCUACGGGAGGCAGCAGUAGGGAAUCUUCGGCAAUGGACGAAAGUCUGACCGAGCAACGCCGCGUGAGUGAAGAAGGUUUUCGGAUCGUAAAACUCUGUUGUUAGAGAAGAACAAGGAUGAGAGUAAAACGUUCAUCCCUUGACGGUAUCUAACCAGAAAGCCACGGCUAACUACGUGCCAGCAGCCGCGGUAAUACGUAGGUGGCAAGCGUUGUCCGGAUUUAUUGGGCGUAAAGCGAGCGCAGGCGGUUUCUUAAGUCUGAUGUGAAAGCCCCCGGCUCAACCGGGGAGGGUCAUUGGAAACUGGGAGACUUGAGUGCAGAAGAGGAGAAUGGAAUUCCAUGUGUAGCGGUGAAAUGCGUAGAUAUAUGGAGGAACACCAGUGGCGAAGGCGGCUCUCUGGUCUGUAACUGACGCUGAGGCUCGAAAGCGUGGGGAGCGAACAGGAUUAGAUACCCUGGUAGUCCACGCC